rnacentral:lncRNA from 1 species
UAAAGUCAGUUGUGAGUUUUAUUAAAAAAUAAGCGCUAUGCCUGGGUUUCAUAAAACUUAUACAUGAAUAUGUACAGACACAAAUAAAAUAAUAUUAAAAAUAAACAUUACACUUGCUUUCAUGUGGCAGUGUCCUGGCACCCCACAUACAUAAUGUUAACUUUUCCUUUAAAGAAAUGGCUUGGCACAGGGAGACCACAGUUAGAGAUCACUGAACCACGAAUAAAGGUGUAGCCCGUUGCCUGCAACAUUUUCAACCCAGGUUUCAAAAAUAUAUAAAUAAUUUAAUUACAAAACCCAACAAUAUAUGUUUUUUAAUUUUUUGGCACAGUGAAGCAAUGGUCAAUAGCAGAGAAAUGACUGAGGGUUCUCUGACACCUCUUACACUCAGCCAUCCCUGUAAAUGCCACAGACACACAGGGAGCGGGUCCCAAUGAACCCCAAACAGUAGUCAUAUCGUUUAUUAUAAAGAAUGGUUCCCCGAUGUGCUUUUUUUCCUUUUUUUUUUUUGAGGGACAAAUAGGAAGGUGCGACAAAAAUUGCAGGAGUAAGGGAGAGCUUGGGCAGAAAGAAGAGAGGAAAAGUCUUUGUGAGGGGAGGAAGGGACAGGCUUGGUCAGGAAACUAAGACAAUGAUGAAGAAUUGCUUUGGUCCUCUGUAAAGUUAUAAAGACGAAGGAAAAUGUUCUGAACUAAGUUAAAACACCUCUGUGAAAAAGGCUUUCGCUUUAAGGCACGUUUGAUGGAGAUUUUUCCUUUAAAGUCUCUUUUCCUCUGGAUAGAAAGUACAAAGCCCCGCGCCUGCCCUGCCGCGUCCCCGACGGCGCCCUGCGCGCCGGCUCGGCGGGGCGCUCAGGCCAGGAGCGUCUCCACCGGGUAGCUCACGGGCUGGCCCGGGCCGCAGGUGGCGGCGGCCUGCAGGGCCGCGGGCAGCCGCAAGGGGCAGUACAGGGGCGCGCCGCCGCCGGCCGCCGGGCCCGGACGGGCUUGGCUGGGGCCGAGGCGGAGAGGGGCGCGAACAGGACGCGCGGCGCGGGCGGGGGGCACGGGCGCCGCGGGCGCUGCCUCCGCUCGGGCGCCCCAGCAGCGCGGGCUCGGCCGCGCCGUACGCGCAGAGGGGCAGCAGGGCGCCGCCGGGCGCGCCGCGGAGAAGCGCGGGGUACGCGGGCGGCGGCGGGCAGGGCGCGGCGCCCCAGGGCAUCCGCGCCCCAGCGGCUGCGUCCGCGUCGCGGCGGCUGCGGAAGGGCUUGCUGAGGAUGCUGUCGAUGGCGAAGGGGCUGGAGAAUUUGCCCGCCGGGCUGGCGCGCCCCUCUGGGCGGGCGGGCGAGCGCGCGCGCCGGGCGAGGAUGGGGGCGGCGGGCGCGGCGGCGGCCGGCGCGGCGGCCGGGCGGACCGCGACCUCCUCGGGCCGAAGCCCCGGGGCGGGGCCCGCUGCCCGGUGACUGAGGCGCUUGCGGCGGCGGCGGAAGACCCCGUCGGCGAACGUGUACUCGCUGUUGGGGUUGAGCAUCCAGUAGUUGUCCUUGCCCCAGGGCCGCGAGGGGUCGCGCAGCACCUUCACGAAGCAGUCGUUGAGCGAGAGGUUGUGGCGCACCGAGUUGCGCCAGCCCGUGUAGCUGCCGCGGAAGAAGGGGAACUUGCCCAUGAGGUACUCGUUGAUCUCGGCCAGCGUCAGGCGCCCGCCCGCCGAGUCGCGGAUGGCCAUGGCGAUGAGCGCGAUGUACGAGUAAGGGGGCUUGGGACGCCGCGUGUACGGCUUGCUGCGCGCGCCCUCGCCGCCCCCCGCGCUCCCCGCGCCGGGCCCCGCCGCCCCCCGCCUCCGCGUCCCCCGCCGCCGCCGCCGCCCGGGCCCUGCUCUUCGGCGUCUGGCCCGCCGCCCGAGCGACGCUCGCCGCCGCCCGCCAGCUCCCUGGCGGUGCCGCCCGCCGCCGGGCUGUUGGCCGCACAGUCCCCGUCUGAGCCCAGGGAGUCGUCUCCGGCCGCCGACAGCGGAGACGGCGCGUCGCUGCCGCCCGCGCCCUCCAGGUCACUACCCGGCUUGUCCCCGUGGGCCGCGCGGGAGCCGCACACCUCCAACUUCAUGCCCGCGCACCCUGUCCUCGCCCGGCGCCGUACCCUUUUCCUUCGCGUAGUCUUGGGAAGCUGGUGCCGGUGGCAGGGCUCCUCGUCUUUCUCUCCGGGAGCUCUCGCUCCUUUUGCGAGGACAGUCUCUUUUCCUUAGAAGAGUCCUCUUCCGCUGGAAUUUUUCUUUGGAAGAGUUGUGCUUAUUGGCCGAACUAAGAGGGGCGGAGAGGGAGGAGUUGGGUGGGUACUCUCUUCAGUUAGAGGUUUAGAGACUGCGGGGUGAAUGCCAGCGGAGGUGCGGGUCCGCUCUCGAGUGCCCCAGCGCACGGGGCGUGGGAUUUCCUGCUGGAGGGAAGAAGCGCGUGCAUCUGCUCUCCGUUCCAGAGACCAGGAAGGCUUCUUCACUGGAGGCUCCAGGUCCCCGGCGGGCGUCCUGGGGCACGGAGAUCGUGCAGGCUGGUGUGCGUGCCACCCUUGGGGGAGCGUCCGGCGCCUUCAGCCUUGAGCGCCCUCGGAGCCGAGUCUCCGAGGCCGUGGCGCCAGCAGCCGCCUUCCAGCCCCCGGCCUCCGGAGCAGCAUCUCCGCGCUGGCGGGCCGCGGCUACGUCUCGCUUCCACCUUCGACCGGCUCAAUAUAACCCUGCAGCAGCUCCGCGGGGCGGGGCCUGGGCGCCGACGGCAGAGGGGUGGGGGAACGAGGUGGCUCCCG